rnacentral:rRNA from 1 species
GACGAACGCUGGCGGCGUGCUUAACACAUGCAAGUCGAGCGGUAAGGCCCUUUCGGGGGUACACGAGCGGCGAACGGGUGAGUAACACGUGGGUGACCUGCCCUCAGCUCUGGGAUAAGCCUGGGAAACCGGGUCUAAUACUGGAUAUGACUCCAUGACGCAUGUUGUGGGGUGGAAAGCCUUGUGCGGCUGAGGAUGGGCCCGCGGCCUAUCAGCUUGUUGGUGGGGUGANGGCCUACCAAGGCGACGACGGGUAGCCGGCCUGAGAGGGCGACCGGCCACACUGGGACUGAGACACGGCCCAGACUCCUACGGGAGGCAGCAGUGGGGAAUCUUGCGCAAUGGGCGAAAGCCUGACGCAGCGACGCCGCGUGAGGGAUGGCGGCCU